UACGUAGGAUGCGAGCGUUAUCCGGAUUUAUUGGGUUUAAAGGGUGCGUAGGCGGCUUUAUAAGUCGUGGGUGAAAGUCAAACGCUUAACGUUUGGAUUGCCUGCGAUACUGUGAGGCUUGGAUUCGGUGGAGGUAACUGGAAUGGUUGAUGUAGCGGUGAAAUGCAUAGAUAUCAGCUGGAACGCCAAUUGCGAAGGCAAGUUACUGUACCGAGAUUGACGCUGAGGCACGAAAGCAUGGGGAGCAAACAGG
rnacentral:rRNA from 1 species